AGUGAACGCUGGCGGUAGGCCUAACACAUGCGAGUCGAACGGCAGCACAGUAAGAGCUUGCUCUUACGGGUGGCGAGUGGCGGACGGGUGAGGAAUACAUCGGAAUCUACUUUUUCGUGGGGGAUAACGUAGGGAAACUUACGCUAAUACCGCAUACGACCUACGGGUGAAAGCAGGGGAUCUUCGGACCUUGCGCGAUUGAAUGAGCCGAUGUCGGAUUAGCUAGUUGGCGGGGUAAAGGCCCACCAAGGCGACGAUCCGUAGCUGGUCUGAGAGGAUGAUCGGCCAACCUGGAAAUGAGACACGGUCCAGACUCCUACGGGAGGCAGCAGUGGGGAAUAUUGGACAAUGGGCGCAAGCCUGAUCCAGCCAUACCGCGUGGGUGAAGAAGGCCUUCGGGUUGUAAAGCCCUUUUGUUGGGAAAGAAAAGCAGCAGGUUAAUACCCCGCUGUUCUGACGGUACCCAAAGAAUAAGCACCGGCUAACUUCGUG
rnacentral:rRNA from 1 species